CCCGAACCGAAAAAUCCGAUCCGUACCCGGUCCGAAAUAUAAAAAAUACCCGAAUGGAUCUCGUAAAGUGGUACAAAACAUAUCCGAACCCGAAGUGUUAUUAACCGAACCCGAACGGGUAACCCGAAAACCCGAAAAAACCAAAAAAUCCGAAAAGAUAUCCGAAGAAACCGGUUAGAAUGUCCAAACUAAUAUACAAUGUAAUUAUAUGAAACAUGAAUAUAU
rnacentral:lncRNA from 1 species